UACGGGGGGGGCAAGCGUUGUUCGGAAUUACUGGGCGUAAAGGGCUCGUAGGUGGCCAACUAAGUCAGACGUGAAAUCCCUCGGCUUAACCGGGGAACUGCGUCUGAUACUGGAUGGCUUGAGUUUGGGAGAGGGAUGCGGAAUUCCAGGUGUAGCGGUGAAAUGCGUAGAUAUCUGGAGGAACACCGGUGGCGAAGGCGGGUCUCUGGGCCGAUACUGACGCUGAGGAGCGAAAGCAUGGGUAGCGAACAGG
rnacentral:rRNA from 1 species